rnacentral:lncRNA from 9 species
GCCAGCUCCCUGGAUGUGAGAAGCCUUCGCACACUGGAAAGGGUGUGUGCCGGAGUCUGGAGGGAGGAAGCCACAGGGAGACAGGAGCAGAGAGAGGGCGGCAGGGACCAGAUCCCCCUGAGCCAGGAACCCAGUCACAGCACCUGGUCUGUGCCUGAGAGCCGGGCACAGCCUCUGAGGCACUGAGGUUGCCUGACCACAGGCACAGGUAUGUUCUGCAAGGAUCAGCCUGCAGGCAGCGUGGAGCCAGUUGGCACAGAUGUGGGAGGGCUUGUCUGAGGCUGUCAUGGGAUCCAGAGGAGCCAGUGAUGGCCCCUCCUGAUGUGGGCCCAGCAGAGAGUCUGGGACCAGGCUGUCUCCAUCUGUGAAGGGGAGCACUUUCUUCCCCAUACAAGGUGAGGGGGAAGCCAUACUUGGGUAUCUCUGCUGAUUUGGGGAGUUUUGGGAGAACUCUGCUGAUUUUGUGGGGACGGCUGUGACCACCACAAAGUGCACAGAGGACACGGGCAACCUGGAAGCAGUGAAGGGUUAGGAAGUGGGGGGGGGGGGGUCACAGCCUGUCAGGUGUGGGCUGAGUCUGGGUGAAAGAUCCAAGGAAGAGAAGGAAGAAUUGUUCCUUUUCCCUUCCCCUCGGGGAGCCUCAGAUCCAUGGGGAUCCCCCUUCCUGGGCUCAGUAGAGUAGAAAGUAUGCCUGGAGCCCACAGCUGUCCAGAGCGACCCUAAAGCUUCCUAGUGGUGGUGUUGAGUCCUGCUCAUGUUUGUCCCUGAAGGAAUAACUCUGAGUGGGUGUCUGGAGUUAGUAAGGACAUCACAGCUGACCUUCUGGAUGGGAUGAACCUCCUCUCUUUCUAAGGAGUAGUUCUAAGGCCUUCAGCUGCCUCUCUUCUUGGCUGCAGAUGAGAGAUGAUUUUGGUUUGGCACAGUGGAAACAAAUCCAACUAGGAACCAUGAGGUUGCGGGUUCAAUCCCUGGCCUCACUCAGUGGGUUAAGGAUGUGGAGUUGCUGAGAGUGUGGUAUAAGUUGCAGACGUGGCUCAGAUCUGGCGUCACUGUGGCUGUGGAGUAGGCUGGCAGCUGCAGCUCUGAUUUGACCCCUAGCCUGGGAACCUCCAUAUGCCACAGGUGCAGCCCU